UCACAUAGGUGUAUUGUAUCUUACAUUGAACCAUCAACACUUAACUUUUUUUCUUUUUCUUCAUCUUCCUCCUCUUCUUGUUCUUCAUCUUCAUUGUUAUCUUCAUACAUCUUCAUCUUCAUCCAUAUAAAAUCCAGAAAAUUAUUAAAUAUUAAAAACUCAACUUUAUUUUAAAAACAAAAAACUAGAUCUGAUCAACUCUUCAAAGCCAAUCACGUAAUCCCUUCCACAAACUAAAAAAACCUUCAUCUUCAUCCCUUGUCCAAAUUCUCUCAUCAUCAACAAACAUCAGCAGCAACACAACAAUGACAACCCUUUCAAUUCACAUAAGAAGAGAGAAGAUUCAUAAAGAUCUGAGGCAAAAGAAGAGAGAAGAUGAAGAUCUUAAAACCACAUUUUCAUUUUAGAUCUAGACCAUCACAAAUUGUUUCGUGACAAAACACCACCAUAAAUAUACUCUCCUUCAUAUUCUCUACAAAACCCACAAAGAAAAACCAUGAUCGGAUGAAUUUGCUCCAGCAACCACCAUACCGGAAAAUGACUCCACCGCGCUAGGAAAUGACCCCACCUCCCUAAUUCAAACACUUUCUGGGCACAUUUUGUUAUUUUUUCUGUUAUGCUUCUGCUAUUGUUUAGUUCUGUCAUGGUUUUGGGGAGUGCCUAGCGCUUGUUUUGUACCUUGCCAGACCUGUUUAGGCUUCUGUUUAGGCCUUUUAAUGAAGAUUAUGUUGUUUAAAAAAAAACAAACUCCCACCGCCAGCUCCAAGUGCACAUCAGUGUGAGAAAAAAUGGGUUCUUUUUAUUUUAGCUUUGUUUCUUAUAUUUUGUUGUCUUGCUUUUAAAUAAUUAAAUGAUAGUGUUGAAAUAAGAACAAAUUGAAAAGAAAGAAAAAACAUAUAGAUGUGAAGAUUGUUUAUUUUGAUAGAUGG
rnacentral:lncRNA from 1 species